rnacentral:rRNA from 1 species
UACGUAGGGGGCUAGCGUUGUCCGGAAUCAUUGGGCGUAAAGAGCGCGUAGGCGGCCAGAUAAGUCCGGUGUGAAAGUCAAAGGCUCAACCUUUGAAUGCCGCUGGAAACUGUCUGGCUAGAGUCCGGGAGGGGCGAGUGGAAUUCCUGGUGUAGCGGUGAAAUGCGCAGAUAUCAGGAGGAACACCGGUGGCGAAGGCGGUUCUCUGGGCAUUACCUGACGCUGAGGAGCGAAAGUGUGGGGAGCGAACAGG